CCAUUAUUUUCAAAAUUUCAUAUCUUCUUCAUUUUAAUUUCAAAAAAUAUGGGACCAAUUGCAUUCUUCUCCAAAUAAUUUCUAGUUUCUAAUUUUGAUUUUUAAUAUUUUUUAUUUUAUCAUUUGAUAUUUUUUGUGAAUUUUCUAUUUUCUGGUUAUUUUUAAUUCAUUUUAAUUAGUUUUUGAUAUUCAAAAAAUACAAAAAUAUUUUCCUAACCUAUUUGAAUGAUGAUGGGAUCUAUGAAAAAUAUUCUCAUCAAUUUUUUAAUUGAU
rnacentral:lncRNA from 1 species